rnacentral:rRNA from 1 species
GAUGAACGCUGGCGGCGUGCCUAAUACAUGCAAGUCGAGCGAACAGAUAAGGAGCUUGCUCCUUUGACGUUAGCGGCGGACGGGUGAGUAACACGUGGGUAACCUACCUAUAAGACUGGAAUAACUCCGGGAAACCGGGGCUAAUGCCGGAUAACAUUUAGAACCGCAUGGUUCUAAAGUGAAAGAUGGUUUUGCUAUCACUUAUAGAUGGACCCGCGCCGUAUUAGCUAGUUGGUAAGGUAACGGCUUACCAAGGCAACGAUACGUAGCCGACCUGAGAGGGUGAUCGGCCACACUGGAACUGAGACACGGUCCAGACUCCUACGGGAGGCAGCAGUAGGGAAUCGUCCGCAAUGGGCGAAAGCCUGACGGAGCAACGCCGCGUGAGUGAUGAAGGUCGUCGGAUCGUAAAACUCUGUUAUUAGGGAAGAACAAAUGUGUAAGUAACUGUGCACGUCUUGACGGUACCUAAUCAGAAAGCCACGGCUAACUACG